CAGAUUAUUAUGUCAAAACCUGCUGGUGGACCAAGAAGAGACCAGCCUGCUCCUGGCAUGGAUGAAGACUAAUUGAUUUUUGUCUUGCUUAUGUCCACAAACAAGCCUAUGAAAAUUUUGAAUUUAAAUAGAUUUUGGUCUGUAAAUUUACUUGCAUUCCUCUUUUUGCCUAUGAAAAUUUUGAAUUUAAAUAGAUUUCCUUUUGUUGUUUGGGAAUUUUGUAGAAUGUAGUUGACUACUAUGAUUUUUAAUAUAAACAAAAAAUGGUUCAUGUUUGAUGAUCUAAAAAU
rnacentral:lncRNA from 1 species